GCGAUAGUAGCUCAGUAGUAGAGCUCCCGCUUCGUAUGCCGAAAGACCUGGGCUCGAUUCCCGGCUGCU
rnacentral:tRNA from 1 species